CUCUGUAUGUAAGUACUCUGUGGCCUGUUUCGUGAAACCCGUCAUGAAAUAUCACAACAAUUAUUGCGUAAACGAUGGACGAUCAAUUACGACCACUGUCAACGACGGGCUGUCGAACCAAUCAAAUUUCAUUAUUAUUUAUUAUUACUUAAAGGUUUAUUUAAGAAACUCAAAAAGAGUUUAACUUCAUUUAAGAUUGCGAAUCGUCGCGUGCAACAUCCCCUUUAGGCUCAGCUACAAGUGGAGUUUUAAAAAUGCGUCAAGCAUGACGUAAACACCAUGUUAUGACGUCACGUCCACAAUAACUGCAUCCGUGACUAACCUGAACUUGGUCAACUUCAGAAUUGUCGACACUUAUAUUGGAGCAAGCCAAUUAGUAUUAUACAUUAAUACACCAUCUUGGCUAUAGAGGCUAGCUUCAUGAUCGAGAUGUUUGCCUUUAACUACUGUUACAUACAUGAAAACGAGGCUCCAUAGCCAAAGUAACAUCCCAAAAGGUGUAUUAUUACAGUGAAGAAAAACUGGUUACUAUCAACAUCUGCUUCAUGAUCGUGCUUGAUGAAACCAUUACAUAAACAUUUUCCCAUAGUUCCUCCUCAGAUUUCAUUGUACAAAAAAUGCACUUUCCAACUUUCGAGACGAGCGUGGGAGGGCAUGUCUCCUGUUAAGUGAACAUCCCUGUUUCAUGAUGCAGUAUUUUCUUGUAAUGUUACCUGUUAUUGCUCAAUGUGCUAUUUGCCAAGACUGCCAACACUUCACUCGUUU